CUCUUCGUGGUGUAGUGGUCAGCACGCUCGACGCAUAACCGAGAGGUCCGUGGUUCGAUUCCCGACGAAGGCG
rnacentral:tRNA from 1 species